GAUUGGCUGUUAAAGUGGCCUAAGGAUUGGCUGGAUGCAAAGUGGAAUGGACGAAUCAGAGUUUAGCACCAAGCGGCUCUUCUGAUUGGACAAAAUGGAGCUAUGUUUGGAUCCUUCCCUUGGUUCCAAAGCUCCACAAUAGAAAGUCAAUGCAAAUGAAUUGCGUUGGUCCCUCUCAGGAUCUUAGAAAGUCGGACCAGAGAGCAGGAGCCUAAGUUUAUUAGCAUCAAGGGAACGCAGUGCAGGAGAGGCUGCUUGAACGAAGUUUUUGUAAAUAUUUUCCAGUGUAAAACAAAAUGCGUUCCCUGCGUGACUCCCUUCUCCUAACGUUUUUGCUUAAGCUUGGAAGGAAAGGGAGAAUUGGAAUUCAGCAAAUCAGACUAUUUUUCUAAGUACAAUAUUUCGUAUAUCACACACAUACAUUUUUAACCAAAAAGCGAUUAUUUUGCCCGAUGGAGUGGGAGAGAAGUAAGUAGAUACAAAGAGAAACUGGUCAAGUGACUGUUGGAAGUCCUGUUUUGCAUGUUUUUAGGCGACUUUCAUCAAACAAGAAGUUAUCUACUGGGCGAUGCAGUUCUUGGAAUUACGUGAUUCAGCUGAAGGAAACACCACAGCUGGGAAGGCGAGAGGUUUACUCCAAUAUUUGCAUGUCCGCAAAACAUAAACGAAAGAUAACUAAACCAAACACGUGCCCCCCCCCCUUUUUUUUUACAAUAUUCUGGCAGGCUUUGGAAGAAACAGGAGGAAUGCGGAGACACGCUGACCCUUACCUCCGCCUGAACAGCGUCUGGGCAGAACUGCAGUGCUCAGUCCUCCAGGUACCUCCAGUGUUCCAAACGCUGAAGCGGGCUUAAGCUAAGAACAGCCCAGCAAAGCCCAGAAAACUGCUGCCCUGGGAUUCUACCCCGUCCCGCUGAGUCUGGGUCACCGAAUAUCGCACAUUUUUAAAAUGAAAGAGCCGCAGGACCUGGUACGCACAGAGCUCCGCUCAGAAUGACUGCAAGUAGAUAUCUCAGGAUUUACUUCGCCACACGAGGGGCCAGCAUCAGCAGUGAGGGGAAACGCGCACUUUGGAAGGGCAGCCGUGGCACACGCGGCUUUGACUCACUCUCUGGUCCCGAAUUGCUCGCCUAACUCCAGUGCGCUUUAUCUGCACGUGUCUGUAGAUGACUGCAAUUCAGGACGCAGCUGACUUGAGAGGCAGAGGGAGGUCGCCCAUGGUUGGUGUAGUCCCCCUAGGCCCAGGACAGCAGGGGCUCGGGUGGCUGAAGCAGAAGGACCGGCGGGAACAGGCAGCCGGCGACAGGAGCCUCAGGAUGAGGCCGUCGCCCGCUGUCCCAGGACCUACUGAUUCUGCACCUGUCACGUGAGCACUGCUGUUUCUUCAGCCCAAUCCUGC